rnacentral:rRNA from 1 species
GUCCUAGCCCUAAACGGUGCUUGCUUGCUGUAAGAGGAAUCGACCCCUCUUGUGGCGGAGCUAACGCGUUAAGCAAGCCGCCUGGGAAGUACGGUCGCAAGAUUAAAACUCAAAGAAAUUGACGGGGGCCUGCACAAGCGGUGGAGUAUGUGGCUUAAUUCGAUGCAACGCGAAGAACCUUACCUGGCCUUGACAUGCAUAUAGUAGAAGCCUGAAAGGGUGACGAGGUAGCAAUACCAGUGUGCACAGGUGCUGCAUGGCUGUCGU